AUUGAACGCUGGCGGCAGGCCUAACACAUGCAAGUCGAACGAGUGGCGGACGGGUGAGUAAUGUCUGGGAAACUGCCUGAUGGAGGGGGAUAACUACUGGAAACGGUAGCUAAUAACGCAUACCAUCAGAUGUGCCCAGAUUGGAUUCGCUAGUUGUUGGGGUAACGGCUCACCAAGGCGACGAUCCCUAGCUGGUCUGAGAGGAUGACCAGCGACACUGGAACUUAGACACGGGCCAGACGCCUACGGGAGGCAGCAGUGGGGAAUAUUGCACAAUGGGCGCAAGACGUAUGCAUCCAUGCCGCGUGUAUGAAGAAGGCCUUCGGGUUGUAAAGUACUUUCAGCGGGGAGGCGUUACCCGCAGAAGAAGCACCGGCUAACUCCGUGCCAGCAGCCGCGGUAAUUC
rnacentral:rRNA from 1 species